GCGCUGGACCCCACUGUGGAAAAACAAGGUAGGGAAGUCAGUCAUCAGCUGUUCUCUCCUUGUAGCAGAGUCUUUGCAAAGCUUCUGCCUCUCAUCAAGCAGGCUCAGUUCCAGAGAAGGCAAGGCAGGUCACACAUACGGCAUGCUUGGCUGAGCGUCGGGCCAAACUCCCAGGGAGCAGUCAUGAGUCACCCUGUUACACUGGACACCGUGACACACGGUACAUGCCAGGACUCGAGGGCUGGGAAGCCACUUGGGAAAUCUGAAUCUCCGUCUCUGUGUUCCAAAAGAGAUGCGCCAACACCGCCCGAGUUUGGUGAAUCGAGUGGAACUUGGUUCCCAUCUUAACUCGGCCGUUUCACGCGGACCGAGAUGUAAUCUGGGUGGUGAGGAAUUUACGGAAUCCUAGACUUUCAGAACAGGAGAGGGCCUUGAAACGUAUCUGGCCAGUGACCUUUGUUCUCCUGACGAGGGAAAUGACCCCAAGAGAAGCCGAGCACGUGACAGAUCAUGGAGCGUAGUGGCCCCGACGUCUGGUGGCCUCCCGACUGCCAGGUUUGCAUGACGCAGCUCUUUCGGAGGUGUCCUGGCUUUCCGCAGGCAGCAUUUCUGGACUCGGCUGCCUUCAUUUUCAGAACACCCUUGUUCUGAAAUUCUUCACGAGGGCCCUCAGCUCACGUGCCUUUGUGCCUACUUUGGAGGUGAGCGGCUCAAACUGUCAUAAACUGUCCUUUAGAACCUUUCUCUUCUGGCCUUCCGGGCAACAGUGAGAGGACCAAAACCAGGCUUACCACCAACUUACCACCAACGCGCCCUUUUACAGGGACUCCCAGCAGAGCUUGGGGUGUCACCCAGGGCGGCGACAGUCAUUCUUCGCUGCCGUUGGAGUCCUUCCCAGGCGUUUUCUGUUUGUUUCCGGUUUAGAGGCACGGAUGCUUCUCCAGAUCUGGUUGACCAGCUGCCUCCCAUCUCCUUCGAGAAGACUCGGAUUACCUGCUGUGCCCACAGCCCCCUCUGAGAAGCACUAUCAUGUGGACAGAAGACAUUUAAAGAGAAACAAUAUCCAGUUUGGAUUUCGUGGAGAUGGAAAACUGCGUAAACACCCAGAGAACAGGGUCCCAGUAUCCGGCUGCCUGUGGACUGGCGAGGAGGGGCAGUCUCCCCAGGGAUUAGGGCGGAUGGAAGGCACGGGAACUUUGAAGAAGGGAGGUCCUGCACAUAAACCCAAUCCCAGUAAAAACACCUCUGUCCACUCAUCAUCACAGUGAACAAAAUAAAAGGAGAGAUUCUGCUCAGCUUUAGGAAAUUUACAAAGAGGAAGUUCUCUGUGCUGCUUUCCCUUUCUUUCUCUCCACAGCUGCAUCGCUAGCUGAAUCCUGCUAAUUGCUCUUUUUAAAUUUAUGUUUCAAUUGCAGUUGCAUCUAGUAUUAUAUUAGGUUCAGGUGUACAGCAGAGUGGUUAGGCAUUUAGAUAACUUACAAAGUGACCCCUUCUCCCCCAAUUCGUCUAGUACCCAUCCGACACCAUGCAUAGUUAUCACCGUAUUAUUGACUAUAUUCCCUGUGCUGUACUUUACAUCCCUGCGACUAUUUGUAUAACUGGAAAUUGGUAUUACUUAAUCCCUUCACCUUUUCACCGAUUCCCCCCACCCUCUCAUCUGGCCU